rnacentral:lncRNA from 1 species
AGACUCGGGGCCCCGCGCGCUUGCGCGCCGCCCGCUGCCCGCCGCCCGCCGCGGCUGGGAGUCCGGAGGUUUCAUCUUGUGAUGGUUUCGGUUCGGCUCUCAAAUGGAGGAUGGCUACGUUGAAGACAGCUGGGGCUGCCGCACGCCUCGGGGUUACUGUCGGGCACCCGGCGGGCGGGGCCGGCGCUGGGGCGGGGGAGGGCUUCCUCGCCCUCAGAAACCACAUUCGCAGAAACGUUUUUAACUGGCAAGGUUUCGAGUUCCCAACCACAGCACCCUCAGUGAUGGUUUUCAGAAGACCUUGUUAGCUCCUCUCCUCCAGAGACCCAUCCUUCGCUGACAUCCCACCGAUUUGGGAGCAGGAAAAAACAGACUCCUGCAAAAUACCUCUUCUUCCAGUGCCCUGUACCCCUCUCUACUUACUUCGAGUCCCUGCAGUCCAGCAACAACCCCAAACGAGUGAAGGGAGGAGACAUAGGUUUGUCCAGGCUCUGCCACCGACGGGUGAUUUGGGAUGAGUCCUUCUCCAGUAUCAUUAUCUUCAACUGUAAAACAUGAGGGUUAGUCCGAAUGAUCUCCAAACGCUUCAGCAUUAAAGUUAGGUGAUGAAUCCUAAGAUUUUGCAGUUCUAUAAUGUCACAUCUCCUCCGUUUCAGAGAGGGCCCGCAGGGAAUCUUGUUAAGGAUAACUGCCAUCGAAGUUACAAGUUUGUUCUGUGAUUGAAGAGUUUCAGGUCUUCUAGAUUUCUUUGGCAUGACGCAUAACUAUUUCAAGAUACUAACAUUUGGGCAGGGCGUGGUGGCUCAGGCCUGUAGUCCUAACACUUUGGGGGGCCGAGGCGGGCAGAUCACCUGAGGGUAGGAGUUAGAGACCAGUCUGGCCAACAUGGUGAAACCCCGUCUCUACUAAAAAUACAAAAAUUAGCCGGGCGUGGCGGUACAUGCCUGUAAUCCCAGCUACUCAGGAGGCUAAGGCAGAAGAAUCGCUUGAAUCCAGGAGGCGGAGGUUGCAGUGAGCUGAGAUCACGCCACUGCACCCCAGCCUGGGCAACAGAGGGAGACUCCUUCUGAAAAAAAAAAAAAAAAAAAGAUACUAACAUUUAAGGUUAAGAAUGUAGGUCAUUUCCCCAGAGGACUAACAGACUCGAGGGCACACACCCCAAAUUUUAUUUCUUUGACUCUGUCAUUGCCCCCAGAACAGUAUAUAAUGUAGCCAAUUGUUGUGGAUUUAUUGUUAAUGAAUAAAAUAAAAUUUGUGACUAGCAGG